rnacentral:rRNA from 1 species
GUGGAUCCUGAGUACGACGGAGCACGUGAAAUUCCGUCGGAAUCUGGGAGGACCAUCUCCUAAGGCUAAAUACUCUCUAGUGACCGAUAGUGAACCAGUACCGUGAGGGAAAGGUGAAAAGUACCCCGGAAGGGGAGUGAAAGAGAACUUGAAACCGUGUGCUUACAAGUAGUCAGAGCCCGUUAAUGGGUGAUGGCGUGCCUUUUGUAGAAUGAACCGGCGAGUUACGAUCUGAUGCAAGGUUAAGCAGGAAAUGUGGAGCCGUAGCGAAAGCGAGUCUGAAUAGGGCGUUGAGUAUUUGGUCGUAGACCCGAAACCAGGUGAUCUACCCAUGGUCAGGUUGAAGUUCA